GCCUGGGUGGCUCAGCGGUUGAGCGUCUGCCUUUGGCUCAGAACAUGAUCCUGGGUCCGGGGAUCAAGUCCCACAUCAGGCU
rnacentral:tRNA from 1 species